GUAGUAGUUAUGUUCUUGAAAAUUAAAAAAUUUGGCGGUAUUUCAGUCAAUUAAAGGAACCUGUCUUGUAAUUGAUAGUCCACGAUAAGAUASACUUAUUUUUUUAGUUUGUAUAUCGUUGUUUAGAAUUUCUUUAUUGGGAUAAUUUUCAAUUGUUUUUAAUUAAAUUAAUUUCAGAUCAAGGUGCAGCUUAUAAGUAAGAAUUGAUGGGUUACAAUUUAAAUAUAUUUGGUUAUUUAUUUUAAAUUUUAGAUAUAAAUGGGAUUUGAUUGUAAUUAAAGAAAUUUUUCUUUAAUGAUCAUUGUUCUGAAAUAUGU
rnacentral:rRNA from 1 species